UACGUAGGGGGCAAGCGUUGUCCGGAAUCAUUGGGCGUAAAGAGCGUGUAGGCGGCUCGAUAAGUCUGCUGUGAAAGUCCAGGGCUCAACCCUGGAAGGCCGGUGGAAACUGUCGGGCUAGAGUCCGGAAGAGGCGAGUGGAAUUCCGGGUGUAGUGGUGAAAUGCGUAGAGAUCCGGAGGAACACCAGUGGCGAAGGCGGCUCGCUGGGCUCUACCUGACGCUGAGGCGCGAAAGCGUGGGGAGCGAACCGG
rnacentral:rRNA from 1 species